CAUUUGCCCAAUUAUUCAUUUAUCAAAAAUCAAGACCCUGGGCCUACCUUGUGCCAACACUGCUCUGGACACCGAGUCCAUGGUGGCAAACUGCAUGGCCUCUGCUGUCACAGAGCUUACUGCAUUGGUGGAGACAGGUGGCCAACAAACAAAGGUAUACUUAUAAUUACAAAUUACACAAAGUGCUUUGAAAAAAAAAAGCAAGCUGCCAUAUGAGAGAAUAACAAAGAAGAUGAAAUUCAGUUUGGAGCCAGUCUAGGACAUGACACCAAUUCUAGAACUUAAAACAGGAGCAGGGCUAUCCAGGCAAAGGAGGGAGAGGAAACUUUUUGGCAGAGCCCCACCUAUGGGAAGCCCAGAGAUAGAAAAGAAGUUGGAGUGUUUUAGGGAUUGAAAGAAAGGCAAUGUGACAGAGACACCAAGAGAAUAGCAAUAAGAGAUGAAGAUAGGGACUGGAAGGGGAGGGGAGGUGAUGGCAGAAUAUCCAAAGCUUUCUGAAAAGGAAACCUACAGAAGGGUUUUAACAUGGGAGAGACAUGUUCUGACUUAUGUUGUAAAGUUCAUUUUGCUGUGGGAAGAAAGGAUUAGAGGCUGAUAAGAAUGGAAGCAGAAGGAGACUAAUUAGAAAACUAUUGUUACAUUCCCAAGGAAUAAAGGUAGCUUGGACCAGGGUGAAGAUGUGUGAUGGAGAAGAUCAUAAAGUCUCUCUAGAGCUGGGCUCACUUAAGGCCAAAUAAGGAGGACUUUAGAAGGACCACGGAAAAAUUGAAUGAAUGGGGAAAAAAGCAAAGUUGAAUUGCUACUGGAGUUAAAAGGAGCUACUGAUGGUGGAAAGAAGUCAGGUCCGCUGGUGUUUUACCAUAACAAAUAUCUGAAGUAAUCUCCAUACCUUCAGAUCUCCUUGUGGCUGCAAUAGCUCUGCAUAUGGAACUAGCCAUCUACCAAAUUAUUUCCUUUCUCAACAAACAUCACUCACAGCCCUAUUAUGACUGGAAGUCUUUUUAAUAAAACUGUCUGUGAAGAUUGCAAAAUAAACCUAUGGAGCAGCGUCCUCACUACUUCCAUCUGUUUUUCCACAAAUUUCUCUCCCUUUUCCACAGAGCAGGUUUGUAUUUCCAAGAAGGUGUAUCUUCAGGAGUUCUAAUAAAGAACAGCUGAAUGCAGCAAUCUUUGCCAUCAAUACAGCCAACCUUCAAGGAAUCACUUUUCACAAAUGAUCUGACGUGGAUGUAUACAUAAACAUUAUCUAUGAAGACAAAAAAGGACAAGAAGAGCAGGUAUCUAUCUCAUGGCACACUGGACAGUGGGACUAGAAGAAGCAGAUUAUUCUGGGGUCGACUUUGCAAAUGCAACACAUUAUUAGGGAAACUGGGAUCCAGUUACUGAGUGGCCUAAAUGACCAGAAAUCCCAAAGAUCCACCUAUUACUGUUGACAGAGAAGAAAAGUCAUGAAAGUUCCUUUCAGUCCUGUGAUUGCUGGGCACUGAUUCUGCAUUGAAGAUGUGUUUCUAGAUGUGAGUGGCCAUACUUUAUUGCUUGUGGCUUAUGGAAUGGAUAAC
rnacentral:lncRNA from 1 species